GAUGAACGCUGGCGGCGUGCUUAACACAUGCAAGUCGAACGGGAUCCAUCAAGCUUGCUUGGUGGUGAGAGUGGCGAACGGGUGAGUAAUGCGUGACCGACCUGCCCCAUACACCGGAAUAGCUCCUGGAAACGGGUGGUAAUGCCGGAUGCUCCAGUUGAUCGCAUGGUCUUCUGGGAAAGCUUUCGCGGUAUGGGAUGGGGUCGCGUCCUAUCAGCUUGACGGCGGGGUAACGGCCCACCGUGGCUUCGACGGGUAGCCGGCCUGAGAGGGCGACCGGCCACAUUGGGACUGAGAUACGGCCCAGACUCCUACGGGAGGCAGCAGUGGGGAAUAUUGCACAAUGGGCGCAAGCCUGAUGCAGCGACGCCGCGUGAGGGAUGGAGGCCUUCGGGUUGUAAACCUCUUUUAUCGGGGAGCAAGCGAGAGUGAGUUUACCCGUUGAAUAAGCACCGGCUA
rnacentral:rRNA from 1 species